UGGAACCUAGGAGGUCAAGGCUGUAGUGAGCCACGAUCAUGCCACUGCAUUCCCACAUGGGUGACAGAGUGCAACUUGGUCUCAAAAAUAAUAAUGUUUGAGGAAUCAUUCCAUUUAAGCAGGUACUAAAGAAGAAAUUAAGGGCUCUUCCUUGCUGAAAGCUUUCUCCCGAGAAACAGAAACUUGGCAUCUUCAUGCAAAACUUCAAAUGACUUAUUAUUAGGUCAAUAAAAAUGAAAUGGUGUUGAAGCACUAAGAUUGUUAAAGAAGCUUAAAGAUUCUAUUACCAUAUUAGUGUUUACACAGUAGUGUAUCAACUUUUAUUCAACAUUACCUCCUUGCUUUAUUGAGGCAAAUAUAUUUUGUAUAAAGUAUUGAGAAUAUCUGAGGUGGUUCCUGUACCUCUUCUGUGUUCUCAGUCUUAUCUUGGUAUAUAAAACCAUUCAGGCUUUAGGAGUAUCAUUUUUUUCUAGAUAGAAUUUUCCAGAUGAACCUAUAAUAUUCUGGAAUAAACAACAAACCAUUGUUUAUAAAAUUUAGAACAACUUUGAUAAGCCUCAAGAUUCCAUAGCAGGACCAUUGCAAUUCAGAUAACUGGAUGAGGCAGGGUAGCAUAGAGCACUAGAAACUUAAUUCUGUUGCUAACGGACAUGUGAUCUUGGGCUAAUCAUUUAAACCCUGCUAGUUAGAUCUCAGCAUUCUCCUGGAAAUAAAAUUAUUGCUCUCUGUUCUCCAGAGUCCAUACCUAUUUUAUAGUUCUCAGAAAUUCCCAAUGAGCUUUACAAGGUGUCUCCAAGCAGAGUUCCUUGUGGUAUUGUCUCCUGCGGGGCAGAAAUCCCAUAGGAAAGUGGAGUAGUCAUGACGAUUGUGUGAUUUACAAUCCACCACAGGAAACUUGUAGAAUUCCUUAGAAAACAAAGUGGGUUCUACUAUCUCUUGGGUCUGUUAUUCCCCCUUGAGAAGCCUUUUUUAUUAUUCUCCCUCUUUUCCUCUUCUUGGCUCUUCACCACAACCCAGGAUGACUACACAACCUAUUUUCACCACCUGUCUUUUUUGCAAUCAUUAUUACCUUUUCUCAGCUGCAGUUUCACCCUGAGGCUUUGGCAACUGAAGUUGUAUAAAUAAAACAGUUACUGUGCCUGGGCAACUUGCUACACUUACCACAGGCUGCCUCAUAUUGUUUUCUUACUAACAUUUUAAUCACUUUGGAUUCUGGUUUGGAUUGCACGUUCACUUCUUUUUCUCUUUGUUUCAUAGAAGCCAUUGUGCGAUUAAAGAAGUAAAAGGCUAUACAAAUAAGUAUUUAUUGAACGCUGUUCCUUGCCCAGCAUUAUGUUAAAUACAGAUACAAAUAAAUGAGACAAUUCUGAAUUUUCCAGUUUUCUGUUCCAAUGGAUAUUACAGCUCAUAGAAGAGAUGAAGAAGACACCUCCUAUCCACGUAUUGAAAAAAAUCCAACAUUGGUCACAGACUCUCCUUGGGAAGACAGUCUUCCCUUGGUGUCUGGUCAAUAGCAGGAUGCCCGCCUUGUCCUUUCACCAGUCAUACGGCCCAGAACCCCAGGUGGGGACACCCACUGGGGAUCCUAGUGGUUGCUCUCCUCCUCGUCUCUUUCUCCCCAACCCUCUCUGGUCUAUCAUGAGCAACCUUCUUCCCUCCAUCCCUCCCUCUUCUCCUUUGGCCUGUGUCAAGAACCUUAAACCCCUUUAGUUUUUAUCUGAACUAAAACCAAAAUGUCUAAUUUUUUUCUGUAACAUGGCCUGGCCUCAAUAUAAAGUAGACAAUGGCUCCCAGUGGCCAGAAAAUGGCACUUUUGAUUUCUCUAUUUUGUGGAACAUAAACAAUUUUUGUCAUAGAAUGAGCAAAUGGUCUGAAGUACCCUACAUUCAGGCAUUUUUUACACUCCAAUCUCUCCCUAAUUUCUGCUCUCAGUGUAACCCACCCCAAAUUUUCCUUCUCUCCCUUCCAUCCAUACCUCCUGCCUCUGCCAAUGACACAGAAUCCUCCUUGUCCAUUGACCCUUCCGACCUUUCUCCUCCCUGCCUGUCUGAACAAGGCCCUAAUCCCCCCUCCCCAAGACUUUCUCUUCUUCCUCUGCCUGCAACCCACCUCCUUAUGCCUCUCCCAUCACCACCCCACCUCAUACCAAAUCCGGCUUAUAAUUUGGUCUGGCACCCAUGGCUAACUCCCCCUCCCCUGUCCAACAGUUUCACCUUCACAAGGUGCCUGGCUACACAGGAAUAGUCCAGUUGCACGUCCCUUUUUCUCUAUCUGACCUCUCCCAAAUCGGUCAAUGUCUAGGCUCUCCCCUCAGACCCCACCAAGUAUAUAUAUAUAAGAAUUCCAAUACUUAACCCAGUCUUAUAUCUCACCUGGAGUGACUUAAAUGUCAUCCUUACUUCUACUCUCACCCCAGAAGAAUGAGAAUGGGUUUGGACCCUAGCUCAGUCUUACACAGAUGAUUGCUGGCGCCUUGAACCUGGCCUUCGGGAAGGUGCCAGGGCAGCACCCUGAGAAGACCCCCAAUAGGACUACCAGACAGGAACCCCUGGCAUUGCCAGCUGAGAUUACAUGAUCUCCUGUCUAGUUGAAGGGCUUCAAAAGGCAGCAUAUAAGGCCGUCAAUUACGACAAACUAAAAGAGACCACUUGUAACAAAGAUGAAAAUUCUGCUCAGUUUAUGGCCCAUCUAGCUGCCGCCCUCAGGCAAUAUAGAGCAUUAGAACCUGAAGGGCCUGAAGGCUGCCAUAUUCUUAACAUGCAUUUUAUCACCUUAUCAGCCCCUGACAUUAGAAAAAAGCUACAGAAAUUAGAGUCUGGCCCUCAAACGCCACAACAGGAACUAAUCAACCUCGCCUUCAAGGUGUUCAACAAUAGGGAAGAAGGAAAACUACAGAUGUUUGCUUCUGCUGUAAAACAAACACCAGCCACACCACAGGCCCCAAAAAACUUCAAAGCGCCCAGACUGCAGCGUCCAGCUGCCCCUCUGGACCCUGCUUCAAGUGUAAAAAACCUGGCCACUGGGCCAAGGAAUGCCUGCAGCCCAGGCUUCCUCCUAAGCCCUGCCCCGUCUGUGCAGGCCUCCGCUGGAAGUCAGACUGUCCAACUCAUAUCGCUGACCCCAGAGCUCCUGGAGCUCCAACCGGAAGCUCCCUGACCAAGCCAUUCCCCGAUCUCCUCGGUUUGGUGGCUGAAGACUGAUGCUUCCCAAACAUCUUGCAGGCUUCUUGGAUCAUCGCAGACCCCGAACUUCAGCACCCCAACUGCUGUCCGAUUGCAAGACCCCCCCCCGCCGGGGAGUACACCACUCCAGGGUAAAGCUGUGUCCACCGGAUGAGCAGCCUGACUCUUCCACCUCUUCUUGGAAGUUGCAAGGACUCUCCCAACUUCUCUAAAACUUACCCGAAUUCCUGAAGAGACUUAAAUGCCUGGGUACUGCCUACCUUGCUGCUUCACCCUCUUCCUCCACUGUUUGCCAAGAAAUUUCCUGAUUCCACCCCCAGGCCACCACCCUUAACUCUCUUCUAGAGUGGAUAGAUGACCUUGUUUUCUAAGGCACCCUGUGUGUCUUCUCCCCCAAUGAAGUACAACUGUUUACCUUCCCCCUCAUUGUUUGACUGUCUAUUCCUCCUGCUCCCUUGGCUGCCCCACAUUGCUGCACCUCCCCUUCCUAUUAGUGCCAUCUACCUCUACAAAACCCUUAACUUAACCCAUUCUUUGCUGAACCAACCAAACCCAACCCUAGCAAAAGGUUGCUGGCUUUGCAACUCUGUCAGCUAUAACUUAUGUUGCCACUCCUGUACCUGCAAAGACUUGGGUUCUUACUCACCUAACCUAUCACCCUCACUAUGAAGGAAAACGUCCCUUCCAACUCUUAAAUAUGCAGCCACUAGCCGAGUUCUCCAUCACUGACAUGUCUAAACAUACCCUGACAGGACACACCGUACAGAUUCUUCGCUCCUACAUUUCUAUCCUCACUCCGUACACAGGUGAUAACAAACCCAUACACGGUUCUGUAACCACAAAUACUGUUUUAACUUCCCAGGCCCCUUUAUGCUUCCAUCACAAUCUAUCCUCAGGCCUACCUCUUGGCCACCUACUACCCAUCAGUGCAACUUUACCUUACAACUCCAAGCCCCAACUGACUAUCAGAACUUUCUGGUAACCCAGACUGCUUCAUUUAGCCAACCUGUCUUCUUUACAGGACCCCUAAAAGUCAGUACCACCUCUUUGCUUAACAAACAGUCAGGGUUUUUGUUGGCAGACAUACUCCUUGCAUGACUAUUCACCCCCAGACCCAUUGCAACAUAGCUCCCACAACUAAUGAGUGCCUUCUUAUACCCACUUUUAGCCACUCCUCUGAAUGGCUCCUAGUAGAAACAAAACAGUACCUCCUCCAGUGGGAAAACAAAACAAAUGGAGCCAUUCACUUUACCCCAACAACCGCUUUCCAGCCACUCACUGGGGCCAUCUUAGCAGGAACCCUGGGCGUAUGGGAACAUGAAAAUAAUAACCUCACACACCUCUUCAAAAUACACAAUCAGUUCUGCUUAUCUAGCCAAGCAAUAUUUUUCUUAUGCAGGACCUCAACUUACCUCUGCCUCCCCACUAACUGGACUGGCAUCUGCACCCUAGUCUUUCUAAGCCCCAAAAUAGACAUUGCCCCAGGGAACCAAAGGUUACUAAUCCCCAUUAAAGCCCAGGUUCAUCAGCUCAGAGCCACACAGCUAGUACCCCUGGUAACCACUAGGAAUUGCAACUGCUACAGGGACAGGAAUAGCAGGGCUGUCCACAUCCUUGUCUUACUAUCAUGCUCUUUCUAAAGAUCUGUCAGACAAUCUAGAAGAUACAGCAAAAUCCAUCCUUGCUCUCCAAUCUCAGAUAGAUUCUUUAGCAGCAGUUACACUUUAAAACCAUCGAGGUUAGACCUCACUGCCAAAAAAGGCAGGCUAUCUACCUUUCCAGGAGAAGAGUGCUGUUUUUACACUAACCAGUCUGGCCUGGUACGAGAUGCCACCCGAUGGUUAACUGAAAAUGCCUCUAAAAUUGGGCAAUGCAUUUCAGACUCCUGGAGGAAUCUUUGGAGCUGGGCACCAUGGUUCCUUCCGCUAGCUGGCUCCCUUGUUUCUGUCAUUCUCCUUCUCUUGUUUGGACCCUGUCUUCCAACUAGUUUGUCAGUUGAAUAAGGACAGCUUGGAGGAUAGAAGCAAGAUGGAGUUGGUUAGGUCAGAUUUCUUUUACUGUCUGAGUCAGAAUUUUGCAAUGGUAGUUUCGAAAGCUGCUUACUACCCCAUUUGAAAGUACCUCAUACACUCAUGGUGAAAUCAUAACCUUAAUUGAGGCCUCUUUGUUUCACCUGUGAGGUUACUUUUGAUAAAGCCAAAGGAAGAAAGAGAAGACAGGAGACAAACUGUUUGGAAAGCUUAGCCUUCCCUCUUAAUGAGUAAAGAUUUUUGCCUUGUUUUAAAACUUUUGAGUCCUAAUUUUGGCAAAAAUAAAUAACUUAUGGUAAUCUG